CGUGUGGUUCUAUUUUGUUGGUUUCUAGGACCGCCGUAAUGAUUAAUAGGGAUAGUCGGGGGCAUCAGUAUUCAAUUGUCAGAGGUGAAAUUCUUGGAUUUAUUGAAGACUAACUACUGCGAAAGCAUUUGCCAAGGAUGUUUUCAUUAAUCAGUGAACGAAAGUUAGGGGAUCGAAGACGAUCAGAUACCGUCGUAGUCUUAACCAUAAACUAUGCCGACUAGGGAUCGGGCGAUGUUACCUUUUUGACUCGCUCGGCACCUUACGAGAAAUCAAAGUGUUUGGGCUCCAGGGGGAGUAUGGUCGCAAGGCUGAAACUUAGAGAAAUUGACGGAAGGGCACCACCAGGGGUGGAACCUGCGGCUUAAUUUGACUCAACACGGGGAAACUCACCAGGUCCAGACACAGUGAGGAUUGACAGAUUGAUAGCUCUUUCUUGAUUCUGUGGGUGGUGGUGCAUGGCCGUUCUUAGUUGGUGGAGUGAUUUGUCUGCUUAAUUGCGAUAACGAACGAGACCUUAACCUGCUAAAUAGCCCGUAUUGCUUUGGCAGUACGCCGGCUUCUUAGAGGGACUAUCGGCUCAAGCCGAUGGAAGUUUGAGGCAAUAACAGGUCUGUGAUGCCCUUAGNUGUCCUGGGCUGCACGCGCGUUACACUGACAGAGCCAGCGAGUUCUUUCCUUGACCGGAAGGUCCGGGUAAUCUUGUUAAACUCUGUCGUGC
rnacentral:rRNA from 1 species